rnacentral:rRNA from 1 species
AGGGUGUAAACGCUGCAGACUUGGUGUUGGGAACCCUUCGGGGGUGCUCAGUGCCGGAGAGAAGUUGUUAAGUCUGCUACUUGGGGAGUACGUCCGCAAGGAUGAAACUUAAAGGAAUUGGCGGGGGAGCACCGCAACGGGAGGAGCGUGCGGUUUAAUUGGAUUCAACGCCGAAAAACUCACCAGCAGCGACUGUUACAUGAAAGUCAGGUAGAUGACCUUACUAGAUUUUCAGAGAGGUGGUGCAUGGCGUCAGUGACU